GUCCUCACUUCGGCAGCACAUACACUAAAAUUGGAACAAUACAGAGAAGAUUAGCAUGUCCCCUGAGCAAGGAUGACAUGCAAAUUUGUGAAGCGUUCCAUAUUUUU
ensembl:snRNA U6 U6 spliceosomal RNA